rnacentral:rRNA from 1 species
AGAGUUUGAUCCUGGCUCAGGAUGAACGCUGGCGGCGUGCCUAACACAUGCAAGUUGAGCGAUUUACUUCGGUAAAGAGCGGCGGACGGGUGAGUAACGCGUGGGUAACCUACCCUGUACACACGGAUAACAUACCGAAAGGUAUGCUAAUACGGGAUAAUAUAUUUGAGAGGCAUCUCUUAAAUAUCAAAGGUGAGCCAGUACAGGAUGGACCCGCGUCUGAUUAGCUAGUUGGUAAGGUAACGGCUUACCAAGGCGACGAUCAGUAGCCGACCUGAGAGGGUGAUCGGCCACAUUGGAACUGAGACACGGUCCAAACUCCUACGGGAGGCAGCAGUGGGGAAUAUUGCACAAUGGGCGAAAGCCUGAUGCAGCAACGCCGCGUGAGUGAUGAAGGCCUUCGGGUCGUAAAACUCUGUCCUCAAGGAAGAUAAUGACGGUACUUGAGGAGGAAGCCCCGGCUAACUACGUGCCAGCAGCCGCGGUAAUACGUAGGGGGCUAGCGUUAUCCGGAUUUACUGGGCGUAAAGGGUGCGUAGGCGGUCUUUCAAGUCAGGAGUGAAAGGCUACGGCUCAACCGUAGUAAGCUCUUGAAACUGGGAGACUUGAGUGCAGGAGAGGAGAGUGGAAUUCCUAGUGUAGCGGUGAAAUGCGUAGAUAUUAGGAGGAACACCAGUUGCGAAGGCGGCUCUCUGGACUGUAACUGACGCUGAGGCACGAAAGCGUGGGGAGCAAACAGGAUUAGAUACCCUGGUAGUCCACGCUGUAAACGAUGAGUACUAGGUGUCGGGGGUUACCCCCUUCGGUGCCGCAGCUAACGCAUUAAGUACUCCGCCUGGGAAGUACGCUCGCAA